rnacentral:rRNA from 1 species
UUCGGGGGACAGGGUGACAGGUGGUGCAUGGUUGUCGUCAGCUCGUGUCGUGAGAUGUUGGGUUAAGUCCCGCAACGAGCGCAACCCUCGACCUUAGUUGCCAGCAUUCAGUUGGGCACUCUAAGGUGACUGCCGGCUAAAAGUCGGAGGAAGGUGGGGAUGACGUCAAAUCAUCAUGCCCCUUAUGACCUGGGCUACACACGUGCUACAAUGGGCGGUACAAAGGGUCGCGAACCCGCGAGGGGGAGCCAAUCCCAAAAAGCCGCUCUCAGUUCGGAUUGCAGGCUGCAGCUCGCCUGCAUGAAGCCGGAAUCGCUAGUAAUCGCGGAUCAGCAUGCCGCGGUGAAUACGUUCCCGGGCCUU